UGGAUUUGGAGUCAGAAGGCAUAGAUUUGACUGUCACAAGCAAAUACCGACAAAAUAGGGGAGGAUCCUGUGAGAUAACACAAGGGACUCAGAAUAAUUAAUCUACACUGGAGAGACUCGGCUGAAGGUUUCAGAAAUAUUCAUUAACCCAAUAGAAUGGGGAUGGAUAUGUUGACACAGAUGCCAAAUGGAGAAGAUCAAGGCUGGUGUCAGGAAAGCCUUAGGAAGAUAGAGACAUUGGAGGCAAGGCAGAGGUGGUGAUGAAAGAAUGUUGGAGAAAUAAUGAAGAAUCAAUUCUGAAGGGUCAGAACAAAAAUGACAAAACUUGUCAUGUUGUGACCUGGAACCACUCAGGAGGAACCAUUGUUUCUGCAUCAUUGACCAUCGUCAUUUCUGAAAUAUCAUACCAUUCAAAUUCUGUAACUUUAAUUGAACUGAAGAGUUAAGAACCUAUUUUUGUUUAACUUUAUUUCUAUAUCCUAUUACUCUGUGUAACUUAAUUCCCUUUGUCAGGUUAUUUAUCUCAGGAUAUUUAAUUCAAUUUUGAUUAUACAUAUAUACCACAUGGUAUAACCCAUGUACAUUGCAAAUGCAAUGGUUGUUGAUUCUUGCAUGCUAAUUUAAUUCUCAAUUUUAUUUUUUUG